rnacentral:piRNA from 1 species
UCUCAGAAUGAAGAUACGCGAUGCCACGG